UUUAAGAUUAAGGUGGACAUUUUCUAACUAACAAAUUUGUGUAAAAAUAGGAAUUUACCAAAAUGGUAAUAGACCAAAAAGGGAAACUAUUUUGAACAAAACAAACGGCGUCAGUGCGUCAGCGUCACUAAUCACUAUGUGGGUUGUGCACGUUAGCACACGCGGCCUAAGUUAGAGACAAGCGCUACCGCGGUUGAGAGGGGCUGGAAGUUAAGUUCGAAGUAUAUAUAUAAAGCUGGAUGCAUCGGUGCUAAGAACUCUAGAAGCCUCCAUAGCCUUAAUUCUCAAGUCAAACAAACUUAGGUUUAUCACUCCCCCUAACUGAUAUAUCUAGAGAGAUAGAGAGAGAGAGAGAGA